GACGGAGGGUGCAAGCGUUAUCCGGAUUCACUGGGUUUAAAGGGUGCGUAGGAGGGUAGGUAAGUCAGUGGUGAAAUCCCCGAGCUUAACUUGGGAACUGCCGUUGAUACUAUCUAUCUUGAAUAUCGUGGAGGUGAGCGGAAUAUGUCAUGUAGCGGUGAAAUGCUUAGAUAUGACAUAGAACACCAAUUGCGAAGGCAGCUUGCUACACGAAUAUUGACUCUGAGGCACGAAAGCGUGGGGAUCAAACAGG
rnacentral:rRNA from 1 species